CCCUUAGAUGUUCUGGGCCGCACGCGUGCUACACUGAGUGGAUCAGCGGGUCAGGUUGCGCGAAAGUGUUUCCUAAUCUUUAAAUCCGCUCAUGAUGGGGAUUGACGGUUGCAAUUUUCCGUCAUGAACGAGGAAUACCUUGUAAGCGCGGGUCAUCAUCCCGCGCUGAAUACGUCCCUGCCCUUUGUACACACCGCCCGUCGCUCCUACCGAUUGAGUGGUCCGGUGAGGCUUUGGGAUCUGAGCGGAAAGAGCGUUUCGCUGUUUCUGCCCGGAAAACUCAGUCGAACCUUAUCAUUUAGAGGAAGGAGAAGUCGUAACA
rnacentral:rRNA from 1 species